rnacentral:rRNA from 1 species
UAGGCGGUUCAGUAUGUCGGUGGAAAUCUCACAGCUCAACUGUGAAAGUCAUCGAAACUGCUGGACUAGAGUACUGAGAGGAGAGCGGAAUCUGGAGUAGCGGUGAAAUGCGUAGAUAUCAAGAAGAACACGGCGGCGAAGGCGGCUCUCUGGACAGUUACUGACGCUGAGGCACGAAAGCCAGGGGAGCGAAGAGGAUUAGAUACCCUCGUAGUCCUGGCUGUAAACGAUGUGCACUUGGUGUGGGGAGGAGUUAUCCCCUCUCCGUACCGGAGCUAACGCGUUAAGUGCACCGCCUGGGGAGUACGGCCGCAAGGCUAAAACUCAAAGGAAUUGACGGGGGCCUGCACAAGCGGUGGAGCAUGUGGCUUAAUUCGAUGCAACGCGAAGAACCUUACCUGGGUUUGACAUGCCCGUCGUAUUCCCCUUAAAGGGGGAAGUCAGCUCGGCUGGACGGUGCACAGGUGCUGCAUGGCUGUCGUCAGCUCGUGCCGUGAGGUGUUGGGUUAAGUCCCGCAACGAGCGCAACCCUUGUGUCUAGUUGCCACUCCCGAUUCUGUUGGGAAGCACUCUAGACAGACUGCCCGUGAUAAGCGGGAGGAAGGAGGGGAUGACGUCAAGUCAGUAUGGUCCUUAUACCCAGGGCUGCACACGUGCUACAAUGGCUGGUACAGAGGGCGGCGACGCCGCGAGGCGGAGCAAAUCCCGAAAACCAGUCUUAGUUCGGAUCGCAGUCUGCAAUUCGACUGCGUGAAGUUGGAAUCGCUAGUAAAUGCGUAUCAGCAAUGGCGCAUUGAAUACGUUCCCAGGCCUUGUACACACCGCCCGUCACAUCAUGAAAGCUGGUUGCACCCGAAGUCACUGGGCCAAUCCCUUCGGGGAGGGCAGGUGCCGAAGGUGUGAGCAGUGAUUGGGAUGAAGUCGUAACAAGGUAGCCA